rnacentral:rRNA from 1 species
UACGAAGGGGGCUAGCGUUGUUCGGAAUUACUGGGCGUAAAGCGCGCGUAGGCGGAUAUUUAAGUCAGGGGUGAAAUCCCGGGGCUCAACCCUGGAACUGCCUUUGAUACUGGAUAUCUGGAGUUCGGGAGAGGUGAGUGGAAUUCCGAGUGUAGAGGUGAAAUUCGUAGAUAUUCGGAGGAACACCGGUGGCGAAGGCGGCUGCCUGGCCUAGAACUGACGCUGAUACGCGAAAGCGUGGGGAGCGAUCCGG